GGGUUGUGAGGUUAAGCGACUAAGCGUACACGGUGGAUGCCCUGGCAGUCAGAGGCGAUGAAGGGCGUGCUAAUCUGCGAUAAGCGCCGGUAAGGUGAUAUGAACCGUUAUAACCGGCGAUACCCGAAUGGGGAAACCCAGUGUGAUUCGUCACACUAUCAUUAACUGAAUCCAUAGGUUAAUGAGGCGAACCGGGGGAACUGAAACAUCUAAGUACCCCGAGGAAAAGAAAUCAACCGAGAUUCCCCCAGUAGCGGCGAGCGAACGGGGAGGAGCCCAGAGCCUGAAUCAGCAUGUGUGUUAGUGGAAGCGUCUGGAAAGGCGCGCGAUACAGGGUGACAGCCCCGUACACAAAAGCGCAUGUGCUGUGAGCUCGAUGAGUAGGGCGGGACACGUGAUAUCCUGUCUGAAUAUGGGGGGACCAUCCUCCAAGGCUAAAUACUCCUGACUGACCGAUAGUGAACCAGUACCGUGAGGGAAAGGCGAAAAGAACCCCGGCGAGG
rnacentral:rRNA from 1 species